rnacentral:rRNA from 1 species
AUUGAACGCUAGCGGCAUGCUUUACACAUGCAAGUCGAACGAGUGGCGGACGGGUGAGUAAUAUAUCGGAACGUGCCUAGUAGCGGGGGAUAACUACUCGAAAGAGUGGCUAAUACCGCAUACUAUUGGAGCGACCCAUAUCGGAUUAGCUAGUUGGUGGGGUAAAGGCUCACCAAGGCAACGAUCCGUAGCUGGUUUGAGAGGAUGACCAGCCACACUGGGACUGAGACACGGCCCAGACUCCUACGGGAGGCAGCAGUGGGGAAUUUUGGACAAUGGGGGAAACCCUGAUCCAGCCAUCCCGCGUGUAUGAGAAGGCCUUCGGGUUGUAAAGUACUUUUGGCAGAGAAGCGGUAUCUGCAGAAUAAGCACCGGCUAACUACGUGCCAGCAGCCGCGGUAAUUC